rnacentral:rRNA from 1 species
GUCGUACAGGUUUCCGCUAGGUGACCUGCGGAAGGAUCAUUACACGUUCCAAAUUAC